UUGAGAGUUUGAUCCUGGCUCAGAACGAACGCUGGC
rnacentral:rRNA from 1 species